AAUGCCCGUUGAGAUGUUGCAGCCCAACUGAGUGUUGACGCUGUGUCAUCAGGUGGCAGAGAGAGACCGGUGGUAGUCUUCACUGAGGACUCGGAGUGAUGCUCUCACCGACAAC